GACCGGCGCACGGGUGCGUAACGCGUAUACAAUCUGCCUUAUACAGAGGGAUAGCCUUUAGAAAUGAAGAUUAAUACCUCAUGGUCUAUUAAUAUAGCAUUAUAUAAAUAGUAAAGCUUCGGCGGUAUAAGAUGAGUAUGCGUCCUAUUAGUUAGUUGGUAAGGUAACGGCUUACCAAGACAACGAUAGGUAGGGGCCCUGAGAGGGGGAUCCCCCACACUGGUACUGAGACACGGACCAGACUCCUACGGGAGGCAGCAGUGAGGAAUAUUGGACAAUGGAGGUAACUCUGAUCCAGCCAUGCCGCGUGCAGGAAGACGGCCCUAUGGGUUGUAAACUGCUUUUAUAUAGGAAGAAACCUCUGGAUUUAUCCAGAGCUGACAUUACUAUACGAAUAAGCAUCGGCUAACUCCGUGCCAGCAGCCGCGGUAAUACGGAGGAUGCAAGCGUUAUCCGGAUUUAUUGGGUUUAAAGGGUCCGUAGGCGGAAUUUUAAGUCAGUGGUGAAAGCCUGCAGCUCAACUGUAGAACUGCCAUUGAUACUGAAAUUCUUGAAUAUAUAUGAAGUGGGCGGAAUGCGUCAUGUAGCGGUGAAAUGCACAGAUAUGACGCAGAACACCAAUUGCGAAGGCAGCUCACUAAUGUAUUAUUGACGCUGAGGGACGAAAGCAUGGGGAGCGAACAGGAUUAGAUACCCUGGUA
rnacentral:rRNA from 1 species